rnacentral:misc_RNA from 1 species
UACGGAGGGUGCAAGCGUUAAUCGGAAUUACUGGGCGUAAAGCGCACGCAGGCGGCCGGUCAAGCCGGAUGUGAAAUCCCCGGGCUCAACCUGGGAACUGCAUCCGCAACUGGCUGGCUAGAGUCCUGUAGAGGGGGGUAGAAUUCCAGGUGUAGCGGUGAAAUGCGUAGAGAUCUGGAGGAAUACCGGUGGCGAAGGCGGCCCCCUGGCCAAAGACUGACGCUGAGGUGCGAAAGCGUGGGGAGCAAACAGG